UCUUAUCAAGAGCAGGUGGAGGGACUAGCCCGAUGAAACCCGGCAACCGGCAUCCAGUCAAGCGACUGGCAUUGCACGGUGCUAAAUCUUGCAGGAACAGUCGUUUCUGAGAGAUGAGA
rnacentral:ncRNA from 1 species